rnacentral:rRNA from 1 species
AGUGAACGCUGGCGGUAGGCCUACACAUGCAAGUCGAACGGUAACAGGCCGCAAGGUGCUGACGAGUGGCGAACGGGUGAGUAAUGCAUCGGAACGUGCCCAGUCGUGGGGGAUAACGCAGCGAAAGCUGUGCUAAUACCGCAUACGAUCUAUGGAUGAAAGCGGGGGACCGUAAGGCCUCGCGCGAUUGGAGCGGACGAUGUCAGAUUAGGUAGUUGGUGGGGUAAAGGCUCACCAAGCCGACGAUCUGGAGCUGGGCUGAGAGGACGACCAGCCACACUGGGACUGGGACACGGCCCAGACUCCUACGGGAGGCAGCAGUGGGUGAUUUUGGACAAUGGGCGCAAGCCUGAUCCAGCAAUGCCGCGUGCAGGAAGAAGGCCUUCGGGUUGUAAACUGCUUUUGUACGGAACGAAAAGGCUCUGGUUAAUACCUGGGGCUCAUGACGGUACCGUAAGAAUAAGCACCGGCUAACUACGUGCCAGCAGCCGCCGCAG